rnacentral:rRNA from 1 species
AUUGAACGCUGGCGGCAUGCCUUACACAUGCAAGUCGAACGGCAGCGGACCUUCGGGUGCCGGCGAGUGGCGAACGGGUGAGUAAUAUAUCGGAACGUACCUUUCAGUGGGGGAUAACGUAGCGAAAGUUACGCUAAUACCGCAUAUUCUGUGAGCAGGAAAGCAGGGGAUCGCAAGACCUUGCGCUGAUUGAGCGGCCGAUAUCAGAUUAGCUAGUUGGUGAGGUAAAGGCUCACCAAGGCGACGAUCUGUAGCGGGUCUGAGAGGAUGAUCCGCCACACUGGAACUGAGACACGGUCCAGACUCCUACGGGAGGCAGCAGUGGGGAAUUUUGGACAAUGGGCGCAAGCCUGAUCCAGCCAUGCCGCGUGAGUGAAGAAGGCCUCGGUUGUAAGACUCUUUCGGUCCGGGAGGAAAUACGCACAGGUUAAUACCCUA